rnacentral:lncRNA from 1 species
AUUCCAUCAGAAAAAUAAGUGGCCAACAUGGGAAUACCUGAAAGAAACAUACUUUUUAUUGAUAAUAACAUCGUUUUUUGGAAAUAACCUUUGUUCUUCUUCUGUAACCUCAGGAAGAUAUUAUUCUCAGACACUUAACACUCGAAGGUGAAGCACUUAGAUAGAAAAUGCACUUCUAAUUUUAAGAUUGUUCCAGCUCAUCAGUAUCUAGAUGAGGAAAAACAUCAGCCACAGAAAACUGAGUGAUGAGGAAGUUCUGGGCAUUUUGCCUGCUUAGUUCAUUAAUAAAAAGCUUCUGAGUCUUCCUGUGCCAGCCAUCAGGGUGAACACGGGGGAUUCAAAGAGGAUUGCACGACGAGUCAAAUUUCUGCAAUAAACCCAGUUACUGAGUCCCACAUCCUCUCUCCAUCUCAUUCCAUCUGCCGUCGCCAAAUGGCAAACAAGCAGAAGAAAAUAAAUCUACCUGCCUCAAGCAUGCUUAGUGUUCCAAAUAUAUGAGUUAAAAUGCAAAUUUUGAAAAAAAGGAACUUUGGGGGAUAAAAGGAUAAAGCGGCAUGGUGAGAGACACCUGAGAUACGGACAUCAGAGAAGCCCUUGUCCUAGGGCAGUAAGG